rnacentral:rRNA from 1 species
UGGUGGAGUGAUUUGUCUGGUUAAUUCCGUUAACGAACGAGACCUCGACCUGCUAAAUAGUACGUUGUAUUCUUUGGAUAUUGAUGGCACUUCUUAGAGGGACUAUCGGUUGGUGUACCCGAUGGAAGUUCGAGGCAAUAACA